ACUUUUAUAAAUAAUGAAAAGGCCAUUAAAUUAAACUAUAUAUUUGGGUUAAGGUCCAUAAAAUUAGGGUUUAUGAGUGAAGAUUUUAUUCUUGGAUAAUAUUACCCUCCUUCGUAACUUAAAUAUAAAAGACCAAAAUAAAAAAAAAAUAUUCUAAAAUAGAUCUCAGCAUCUCUCUCUACUUUCUCUCCAUACUACAACCAAACCACCAUCAUCACCACAAACACAUUGCUAUCGUCGCCACAACCACACCAUCGUCGCUAUCGUCGUGCCACAUCGUCAUCGCCCCCCCCCCCCCCCCCCCCCCCCCCGCAACAUUACCCCCACCCGGCCCCACCGCUUGCAAAUCUCUCUUAGAUUUGAUAUCUAAAACACCACCACGACAUUCCACCACCACAAGGCCACACCACCUUCACUGUCGUUACUAUCACACUGAAAUUGUAGUUGCUGCCACUACCGCAUUUUCUUCAUUGCUCUCUCUCUCUGUCAAAUCUAAGAUCUACAAUACCGCCUUGUCUUAUCACCACCAUCAUCCGUCUUCACCGGUGUCAAGUUUCUUUUUUC
rnacentral:lncRNA from 1 species